GAGUUAUGCCUUCUUAGCGCGGUGUAGUGAUAGGCGACAGCCAGGUUAAAUUCAUGUGCAGGAGUCGCCUUCACUUGAAAACAUCCGUCGAGACCUGCACAUUUAGUUUUGGUGGUUUUGACGCUGUGCGAAUGGCUGAGGCCGUCUCUGCGAUGCACUUUCAGCGCGUAGACUGUCGUUUUGUACGUUGGUGGUAACGACGUUUGCAGUGCCAACGCGGACCCUCAAGAUAUAUGCGACAAUAUAGGGAAGUUAGUUCUGCAACUGCAGCACGAUGUGGCCCCCGUGGUGUAUACGUCUUCAAAGUGCUGCCACGUUGCUCCAGCUCUGAAGACGCCGAUGCAGAGCGCCAGAUCAAGAAAACGCGCUUGCUGAACCGCAAGCUGACGGCUACGCUGAAACGCCUGCCGUGUGUUCGAAUCUUGAACGCCGAGCAUGUUGGUCUUCAUUCGAGAGCUGUCUCACCUUUGGAUGUUCAGAGGCAUCCACUUCCACCUUGAGCACCGCACCGUGCAGCCAACGCUCCGCAGAGCGUCUCUCGCGGGCGGCUGGGGCACGCAAGCGCAGUGACAACUGUAGGUGGUGCCUUCGCCGCGUCGUCUGCUAAAGCGCAGCGGCUCCGCCCAAUCGCGCUUGCUCUUCGAUGAAGGUAACUUAAUCUCAUGGAAAUCGAGAAGCGCAGCGACUGCGCCUCGUUCCGCACUGCUUUUUCUCCUACUGUUUUCUUUUUCUGCAUGCGAUCUUAAAAGUAAUAAACCUUGGCCCGUGCAUGAGUGAGAUCGCCAAGCCGGGCUGGCACUCCCGCAACUAAGCUACUCAGAUGCUUUGUGCCGUACAGUUAGAAUAUUCCCGCUACUCACACGGUUGUUUUCAUCAGCUGAAAGUUUGGCGACACAAAGUCGACAAUAAAAAAAUAUAAGUUUGCGCUGUGAAUUGAAGGCUCACGGAAAACUUUCUGCUUCGUGCUAAAGUUUUGAGCCAAGAAAUAUAUAAAGCGAUACGCGGUGCUUUGGGUCACCUAGCAAUAAAAAGGGAGUCAAGCUUUAUUCAGCGCCUGCUUACAGAAGUAAUCAUUUGUCAGCGGCGCUUCUUUGGUGAACUGAUUGCGUGAUAUGAGUUCAGCUGAAAACUCUAUUAGAAUGCUUCUUCAUUUUUCUGCAUGAAUGGUACGAAUAAGCAUGGUUGCACAUGAGUAGCAAAUUAGGGCGGCGUAUUGGCGAGUUAAAUUCGCUAGCGCAUGAAGGCAGCAGUGCUGAUAACACCUGAAUGUAAUGUAACUUCUCUGAAAUUGGCAAAUUGCUCACAUCCUUUUGUUUUCAGGCGAGUAACAAUCCAAACUUUCGCACAUUUAAAGCUGUUAUGUCAGACCUUACCAUGCAUUUAUCGCCAAUUUUGCGGCGCCUAGUUUUGAAGCUGAUCAAAAACAUUUGCGUGAGCAGCGGGAACAUUCUGGCUACUGGGCUCAAAGGAGCUGAGUUGCUUAGUUGUAGGAGUUCAAGCGCGGCUGUGAAAGCUUACUCAUGCACGGACCGAGGUUUAUUGGUUGUGAGAUCGCAUCCAGAAAUGAAAGAAAACACUAGCAGCAAAAGCUAGACGGAACAAGGUGCAGUCGCUUCGCUUCUUCUGAACCGUGCCGGAUGCUGGAUUUGCAUGCGCAUAGCAAGAGCGAAGUUAGCUUCACUGCAAAGCAAGUACAAUUCGGCAGAGCUGCCGCGCUUUAGCAGACGACGCGACGAAGGCUUCCCCUAAAGCUGUCACUGCGCAUACGCGCUAGUUACCCAAGCAACCAAGAGAGGCGCUCCGCGGAGUGCUGGCCGCACGGUGCGGUGUUCAAGGUGGAAGUGGACGACUCUGUACCUCAGCUGAAAGAACCCUCUCAACAUCACAGCUUUCAUUAGCUAUAGUCGGGUACAACUUUAGAAGGCAGCGGCAUUUUCCCCUCAAAGGCGGAUGCAUACGAGCCUCCACCAAUAGGCGCGCACUUCAGGUGACGUCAUGAGCCGGACGGCCGGUGACCCCGCCGACGGAGAACAUGCCUAACAUGCCUAGCGGGACUAUUUCUUUAGUCGCGGAGGCAAUUGGCUGCUGCGCUUCGGUCAUCUGGGCGGGGCCUCUCCUGUCUUCUAAAGUUGUACCCCACUAUAGGCACAGCAAUGUCAUUGCAGCAUUUGCUGGCCUCGGGUAGUGAGCAGCAGAGUCAUGCCAAUAUUCAGUGAGUUCAGCAGCUGGUUAGUGUGGAUUGCUUCCAGCAAGUACUGGUUGCACUUGUGAAGUGAAUUCAUGUUUUUAGUCUCUAAAAUGAAGGUAGGUCAGUUGUUAUGAAAUGACUGUCUCAGCAGACAAGAGUCUCUUGCAAUGGAUUCAAUACUGCUUGCAAUUUCCAUAACGUUAGGUGGUUUUCACCUUUGUUUGAGACGUUCCGUUUAACAGUGCAGUACCAUUCUGUGGAGAGUUUUGUGCAAAACUCCACGCAGCAUCUUUUCACUAAUGUGGUGCUGCUGUUGGGUUACGUAGACAAAGCUGGUUUUACCAGUCAUUGUUGAAAGCUCGCCGACCAUCUGCAGAUGAUGGAGGAUUUUAGCAAGUUUUGAAGGCGUCCGGACGGUUGCUUGCAUCUGUGUGCGAGAGCAGACAAUGCAGCACUGCAUGUGUCACAACUUUGUGGGUGCACUUGUUCUAGCUUCCUACACGGUGAUGUCGGUGUCCAACUUGUCGCCCAGAAACCGAAACCGAAAGUCGUUCCUACAAAUAAGGCGAUGUGAAAUAGUUUCGAGAGAAUACAUGAAUUUGGGAGUGUGUCUCAUGCUUCCUAGAUCAAUAAGAAAUGUUUGCAACAAAGAAUGCACAAGCCACAAAUUUGAUGGCACCACUCCUUUAAGUGGUUGUAUGUGAACUUGACGUCAAUUUGGACACUUUGGUGGCUUUGUAACUCCUAUCUAACAAAAAUAAUGCAACAUGUUUUUAGAGAUUAAGUUAGAGCAC